UUUCCGUAGGUGAACCUGCGGAAGGAUCAUUGUCGAAGCCUGCCCAGCAGAACGACCCGCGAACUUGUAUAAACAACCGGGGGCAGGGGCGAUCUCGCCCCGUGCCCUCGAACGGCAGGGAGACACUCGUGCCUUCUUGUCGACCAACGAACCCCGGCGCGGUCUGCGCCAAGGAACUUCAAUUAAAGAGUGCCUCCGGUUGCCUCGGGAACGAUGCGCGUGUCGGAGGCGAAUCUUGUACAAAACCAUAACGACUCUCGGCAACGGAUAUCUCGGCUCUC
rnacentral:misc_RNA from 1 species